AUUUUUGGGUUGUCUCAAUAUGCAUCUUUCAGCAAAUAUACCUAUUUCUUGAAGAAAAAAGAAAAAAGAGAAGGUGAUCAGUGCACGAGUGAAGAGUUUCAUAGGAGCCAGAAGGCAAACACAGGAAAGUAAAUCCAGCCUACUGGAUUACAACAGAGUGUGUUUACAGACAUCUGAAGAAGUGGUUGCUUCGGUGCAAUUUCUCCCAGUGUCAUGAGAAUAGCAGCAACGUGUGCAAAGUAAGAAGACUUCCUGCGGCCUAAUAUUGCAGAUAGUGGAAACAAAUCCUAUUUUGCAAAAUGUGAGAGAGC
rnacentral:lncRNA from 1 species